GACGAACGCUGGCGGCGUGCCUAAUACAUGCAAGUUGAGCGCUGAAGGUUGGUACUUGUACCGACUGGAUGAGCAGCGAACGGGUGAGUAACGCGUGGGGAAUCUGCCUUUGAGCGGGGGACAACAUUUGGAAACGGAUGCUAAUACCGCAUAAAAACUUUAAACACAAGUUUUAAGUUUGAAAGAUGCAAUUGCAUCACUCAAAGAUGAUCCCGCGUUGUAUUAGCUAGUUGGUGAGGUAAAGGCUCACCAAGGCGAUGAUACAUAGCCGACCUGAGAGGGUGAUCGGCCACAUUGGGACUGAGACACGGCCCAAACUCCUACGGGAGGCAGCAGUAGGGAAUCUUCGGCAAUGGACGAAAGUCUGACCGAGCAACGCCGCGUGAGUGAAGAAGGUUUUCGGAUCGUAAAACUCUGUUGGUAGAGAAGAACGUUGGUGAGAGUGGAAAGCUCAUCAAGAGACGGUAACUACCCAGAAAGGGACGGCUAACUACGUG
rnacentral:rRNA from 1 species